GGUCCAGUGGUGGAGUGGUAACAUGCCUGCACAGUAUCCAGGAUAUAGUAUCAUGUUUGCGGGAGUUCCCUGUUCAAUUUAGGGCUGGAUCA